rnacentral:lncRNA from 1 species
AUGGAGUGGUUCUUUUUGCAACAUUUCUUUCUUGACAUGCACUAUCCAAUUCAUGCAUCAUAUGCCAUGCAUUUUGAUCACAAAAAUAUUUGGUUUUCCAUUUGAAUUUUGGAGGGAAAUUCCAAAUUCAAAAAUUAUGCAUUGUUUCCACUUUCCACCACUUGCCUUUGGUUCAAAACAGAGUUUGAAGUGAAUUGGAGCCAAAAAACGUGCAUUGUUCCAUUGGUCAUUACAUGUAUAAGGUGCAUUUGCAAAUUGAC